AUUGAACGCUGGCGGCAUGCCUUACACAUGCAAGUCGAACGGCAGCGGGGACUUCGGUCCGCCGGCGAGUGGCGAACGGGUGAGUAAUGUAUCGGAACGUACCAUUCAGUGGGGGAUAACUAUCCGAAAGGAUAGCUAAUACCGCAUAUUCGGUGAGCAGGAAAGCAGGGGAUCGCAAGACCUUGCGCUGAUUGAGCGGCCGAUAUCAGAUUAGCUAGUUGGUGAGGUAACGGCUCACCAAGGCUACGAUCUGUAGCGGGUCUGAGAGGAUGAUCCGCCACACUGGGACUGAGACACGGCCCAGACUCCUACGGGAGGCAGCAGUGGGGAAUUUUGGACAAUGGGCGCAAGCCUGAUCCAGCCAUGCCGCGUGAGUGAAGAAGGCCUUCGGGUUGUAAAGCUCUUUCGGCCGGGAAGAAAUCGCAUCAGCUAAUACCUGGUGUGGAUGACGGUACCGGAAUAAGAAGCACCGGCUAACUACGUGCCAGCCGCCGCCGUAACAC
rnacentral:rRNA from 1 species